rnacentral:rRNA from 1 species
AACGAACGCUGGCGGCAUGCCUAACACACGCAAGUCGAACGAGACCUUCGGGUCUAGUGGCGCACGGGUGCGUAACGCGUGGGAACCUGCCCUUAGGUUCGGAAUAACUCCCCGAAAGGGGUGCUAAUACCGGAUAAUGUCUUCGGACCAAAGAUUUAUCGCCUUUGGAUGGGCCCGCGUUGGAUUAGCUAGUUGGUAGGGUAAAAGCCUACCAAGGCGACGAUCCAUAGCUGGUCUGAGAGGAUGAUCAGCCACACUGGGACUGAGACACGGCCCAGACUCCUACGGGGGGCAGCAGUGGGGAAUAUUGGACAAUGGGCGAAAGCCUGAUCCAGCAAUGCCGCGUGAGUGAUGAAGGCCUUAGGGUUGUAAAGCUCUUUUACCCGGGAUGAUAAUGACAGUACCGGGAGAAUAAGCUCCGGCUAACUCCGUG